UUUUAUGAGAGUUUGAUCCUGGCUCAGGACGAACGCUGGCGGCGUGCCUAAUACAUGCAAGUCGAACGCUUUUUCUUUCACCGGAGCUUGCUCCACCGAAAGAAAAGGAGUGGCGAACGGGUGAGUAACACGUGGGUAACCUGCCCAUCAGAAGGGGAUAACACUUGGAAACAGGUGCUAAUACCGUAUAACAAUCGAAACCGCAUGGUUUCGGUUUGAAAGGCGCUUUUGCGUCACUGAUGGAUGGACCCGCGGUGCAUUAGCUAGUUGGUGAGGUAACGGCUCACCAAGGCAACGAUGCAUAGCCGACCUGAGAGGGUGAUCGGCCACAUUGGGACUGAGACACGGCCCAAACUCCUACGGGAGGCAGCAGUAGGGAAUCUUCGGCAAUGGACGCAAGUCUGACCGAGCAACGCCGCGUGAGUGAAGAAGGUUUUCGGAUCGUAAAACUCUGUUGUUAGAGAAGAACAAGGAUGAGAGUAGAA
rnacentral:rRNA from 1 species